AUACGUAGGUGGCAAGCGUUGUCCGGAAUUAUUGGGCGUAAAGCGCAUGUAGGCGGUUUGGUAAGUCGGUCGUGAAAAUGCGGUGCUUAACGCCGUAUGGCGAUUGAAACUGCUGAACUUGAGUGCAGGAGAGGAAAGGGGAACUCCCAGUGUAGCGGUGAAAUGGGUAGAUAUUGGGAAGAACACCGGUGGCGAAGGCGACUUUCUGGACUGUGUCUGACGCUCAGAUGCGAAAGCCAGGGUAGCGAACGGGAUUAGAUACCCCGGUAGUCCUGGCCGUAAACGAUGGGUACUAGGUGUGGGAGGUAUCGACUCCUUCCGUGCCGCAGUUAACACAAUAAGUAUUCCGCCUGGGGAGUACGGCCGCAAGGUUGAAACUCAAAUGAAUUGACGGGG
rnacentral:rRNA from 1 species